UAUGUUUUAGUUUAAAUAGAAUGUAAUGUUGUGGUCAUUAAGGUAGCUUGUAUAGCUAAGCGUAA
rnacentral:tRNA from 1 species